rnacentral:rRNA from 1 species
UACGAAGGGGGCUAGCGUUGUUCGGAAUCACUGGGCGUAAAGCGCACGCAGGCGGAUCGAUAAGUCGGGGGUGAAAGCCCGGGGCUCAACCUCGGAAUUGCCUUCGAUACUGUCGGGCUCGAGUCCGGGAGAGGUGAGUGGAAUUCCUAGUGUAGAGGUGAAAUUCGUAGAUAUUAGGAAGAACACCAGUGGCGAAGGCGGCUCACUGGCCCGGUACAGACGCUCAGCUGCGAAAGCGGUGGGAGCAAACAGG